rnacentral:rRNA from 1 species
GACGAACGCUGGCGGCGUGCCUAAUACAUGCAAGUCGAGCGAGACUCUUCGGAGUCUAGCGGCGGACGGGUGAGUAACACGUGGGCAACCUGCCUGUAAGACUGGGAUAACACCGGGAAGCCGGUGCUAAUACCGGAUAAUCCUUUUCCUCUCAUGAGGAAAAGCUGAAAGUCGGUUUCGGCUGACACUUACAGAUGGGCCCGCGGCGCAUUAGCUAGUUGGUGAGGUAACGGCUCACCAAGGCGACGAUGCGUAGCCGACCUGAGAGGGUGAUCGGCCACACUGGGACUGAGACACGGCCCAGACUCCUACGGGAGGCAGCAGUAGGGAAUCUUCCACAAUGGACGAAAGUCUGAUGGAGCAACGCCGCGUGAGCGAUGAAGGCCUUCGGGUCGUAAAGCUCUGUUGUUAGGGAAGAACAAGUACCGGAGUAACUGCCGGUACCUUGACGGUACCUAACCAGAAAGCCACGGCUAACUACGUGCCAGCCGCCGCUGUAAUAC